AAUCCAUAGGUUAAUGAGGCGAACCGGGGGAACUGAAACAUCUAAGUACCCCGAGGAAAAGAAAUCAACCGAGAUUCCCCCAGUAGCGGCGAGCGAACGGGGAGGAGCCCAGAGCCUGAAUCAGCAUGUGUGUUAGUGGAAGCGUCUGGAAAGGCGCGCGAUACAGGGUGACAGCCCCGUACACAAAAGCGCAUGUGCUGUGAGCUCGAUGAGUAGGGCGGGACACGUGGUAUCCUGUCUGAAUAUGGGGGGACCAUCCUCCAAGGCUAAAUACUCCUGACUGACCGAUAGUGAACCAGUACCGUGAGGGAAAGGCGAAAAGAACCCCGGCGAGGGGAGUGAAAAAGAACCUGAAACCGUGUACGUACAAGCAGUGGGAGCACCCUUUGGGUGUGACUGCGUACCUUUUGUAUAAUGGGUCAGCGACUUAUAUUCUGUAGCAAGGUUAACCGAAUAGGGGAGCCGGAGGGAAACCGAGUCUUAAUUGGGCGUUAAGUUGCAGGGUAUAGACCCGAAACCCGGUGAUCUAGCCAUGGGCAGGUUGAAGGUUGGGUAACACUAACUGGAGGACCGAACCGACUAAUGUUGAAAAAUUAGCGGAUGACCUGUGGCUGGGGGUGAAAGGCCAAUCAAACCGGGAGAUAGCUGGUUCUCCCCGAAAGCUAUUUAGGUAGCGCCUCGUGAAUUCAUCUCCGGGGGUAGAGCACUGUUUCGGCUAGGGGGCCAUCCCGGCUUACCAACCCGAUGCAAACUGCGAAUACCGGAGAAUGUUAUCACGGGAGACACACGGCGGGUGCUAACGUCCGUCGUGAAGAGGGAAACAACCCAGACCGCCAGCUAAGGUCCCAAAGUCAUGGUUAAGUGGGAAACGAUGUGGGAAGGCCCAGACAGCCAGGAUGUUGGCUUAGAAGCAGCCAUCAUUUAAAGAAAGCGUAAUAGCUCACUGGUCGAGUCG
rnacentral:rRNA from 1 species